AAUGAACGCUGGCGGCGUGCCUAAUACAUGCAAGUCGAGCGAACAGACGAGGAGCUUGCUCCUCUGACGUUAGCGGCGGACGGGUGGGUAACACGUGGAUAACCUACCUAUAUGACUGGGAUAACUUCGGGAAACCGGUGCUACUACCGGAUAAUAUGUUGAACCGCAUGGUUCAAUAGUGAAAGACGGUUUUGCUGUUACUUUUAGAUGGAUUCGCGCCGGAUUAGCUAGUUGGUAAGGUCACGGCUUACCAAGGCAACGAUGCUUAUCCGACAUGAGAGGUUGAGCAGCCACACUGGAACUGAGACACGGUCCAGACUCCGACGGGAGGCAGCAGUGGGGAAUCUUCGACAAUGGGCGCAAGUUUGAUGCAGCAAUGCCGCGUGGGUGAAGAAGGUCUUCGGGUUGUAAAACCCUUUUAUUGGGAAAGAAAAGCAGAAGAUUAAAAACCCCCUGUUCUGAGGGUACCAAAAAAAAAAGCACGGGCUAACUUCGUG
rnacentral:rRNA from 1 species